rnacentral:rRNA from 1 species
CCGUAGGUGAACCUGCGGAAGGAUCAUUACAGAGUUCAUGCCCGAAAGGGUAGACCUCCCACCCUUGUGUAUUAUUACUUUGUUGCUUUGGCGAGCUGCCUUCGGGCCUUGUAUGCUCGCCAGAGAAAACCAAAACUCUUUUUAUUAAUGUCGUCUGAGUACUAUAUAAUAGUUAAAACUUUCAACAACGGAUCUCUUGGUUCUGGCAUCGAUGAAGAACGCAGCGAAAUGCGAUAAGUAAUGUGAAUUGCAGAAUUCAGUGAAUCAUCGAAUCUUUGAACGCACAUUGCGCCCCUUGGUAUUCCGGGGGGCAUGCCUGUUCGAGCGUCAUUUCAACCCUCAAGCUUAGCUUGGUAUUGAGUCUAUGUCAGUAAUGGCAGGCUCUAAAAUCAGUGGCGGCGCCGCUGGGUCCUGAACGUAGUAAUAUCUCUCGUUACAGGUUCUCGGUGUGCUUCUGCCAAAACCCAAAUUUUUCUAUGGUUGACCUCGGAUCAGGUAGGGAUACCCGCUGAACUUAAGCAUAUCAAUAAGCGGAGGAAA